CCUACGAGGGGCUGCAGUGAGGAAUAUUGGUCAAUGGACGAGAGUCUGAACCAGCCAAGUAGCGUGAAGGAUGACUGCCCUAUGGGUUGUAAACUUCUUUUAUAUGGGAAUAAAACAGGGUAUGCAUACCCUCUUUUAUGUACCAUAUGAAUAAGAAUCGGCUCACUCCGUGCCCGCAGCCGCGGUAAUACGGAGGAUCCCAGCGUUAUCCGGAUUUAUUGGGUUUACAGGGAGCGUAGGUGGAUUGUUAAGUCAGUUGUGAAAGUUUGCGGAUCAACCGGAAAAUUGCAGUUGAAACUGGCAGUCUUGAGUACAGUAGGGGUGGGCGGAAUUCAUGGUGUAGCGGUGAAAUGCUUAGAUAUCACGAAGAACUCCGAUUGCGAAGGCAGCUCACUGGACUGCAACUGACACUGAUGCUCGAAAGUGUGGGUAUCAAACAGGAUUAGAUACCCUAGUAGUC
rnacentral:rRNA from 1 species